rnacentral:rRNA from 1 species
UACGUAGGGUGCGAGCGUUAAUCGGAAUUACUGGGCGUAAAGCGAGCGUAGUCGGUUAUUUAAGUCGGGUGUGAAAGCCCCGGGCUCAACCUGGGAAUUGCAUUCGAUACUGGAUAGCUAGAGUUCGGCAGAGGGAAGCGGAAUUUCCGGUGUAGCGGUGAAAUGCGUAGAUAUCGGAAGGAACAUCAGUGGCGAAAGCGGCUUCCUGGACC